AUUUAACCACCUACAAUUGUCAUGCAGAUAGCAAUGCACUUUAUAUCUGAUGUAUUCAUGUUUUAACAACAUUUACUAUUACUCACUAAGUCUGAUCAUUAAAUUGUCUUUUGUAUUUUUAUGUUAAUCAUGCUGUUGCCAUUCUGUUCUUUUUGAUCAUUGAAUGUGUAGCUGCAUUUAACUUUUAAAGCCUGGGUGAUUCAUCUAUUAUACAAAUGUUUAUUUUUGUACUCUUUUAUGCAUUUAUAUAUUAAAUCUAAACAUUUAAAUGAAGGAACUGUACUCUCACAAUUGAGUCAACCAGCCAACAUUUUACUGUAGAACUUGUAUACAGUUGGUCAUUAAAGAAAGGAAAUCUUUAAAAUGUUAUGAUUACUAUUUUAAUAUAUACUUUCCUAUACAUGUUACAAGCAUUUUCCUCAUUAAUAUACACACUUAUACCUACUAAUGCACACACACAGUUAAGUGACUCUUUACAUCUUUAUAGUCAGUGUAAAGCCAGCUUUUCCAGAGCCAACACGCAGCUGCUGUAAUCUUACUGUACUUGCGGGUCAGAGGGUAAAUCUAUAGACUUUGAUGUGUGAACAUGUGUUUAGCUUUACUCACAAGGGCAAAUUAAAGGCAAGGACAAUGA